GUCACACCUGAAGAAUCGAGGAAACGAGGAGCUGCGUGUAGGGCUCGCGCGGAUCGUCGAGCACCCGGUCGGUCAGACCCUGCUCGAUGACGGCGCCGUC
rnacentral:sRNA from 1 species